AUCGCUUCUCGCCUUUGGCUCAGAUCAAAUGUAGUAUCUGUUCUUAUCAGUUUAAUAUUCUGAUACGUCCCAUCGGGGACUACAUAAUAAUUGAAUUUUUCUAUCAGGAGUCGGAAAUGGGCUUGUUCGGUCCGCCCACGCAUCGACUCGGUAUUGCAGUACUCUCCGGGAACGGUGUGCAACAA